AACGCGAAGAACCUUACCAGCUCUUGACAUGCCACGACGGUCUUCGGAGACGGGGACUUUCCUUCGGGACGUGGACACAGGUGCUGCAUGGCUGUCGUCAGCUCGUGUCGUGAGAUGUUGGGUUAAGUCCCGCAACGAGCGCAACCCUCGCCCUUAGUUGCCAGCAUUAGGUUGGGCACUCUAAGGGGACUGCCGGUGAUAAGCCGAGAGGAAGGUGGGGAUGACGUCAAGUCCUCAUGGCCCUUACGGGCUGGGCUACACACGUGCUACAAUGGCGGUGACAAUGGGCAGCUACGCGGCGACGCGAUGCCAAUCCCAAAAAGCCGUCUCAGUUCGGAUUGCACUCUGCAACUCGAGUGCAUGAAGUUGGAAUCGCUAGUAAUCGUGGAUCAGCACGCCACGGUGAAUACGUUCCCGGGUCUUGUACACACGC
rnacentral:rRNA from 1 species